GCAACACUGAUGUAAUGGCAACAUAUCUGCUUCCCAAGCAGAAUAUGCGGGUUCGAUUCCCGUGUGUUGCU
rnacentral:tRNA from 1 species